rnacentral:rRNA from 1 species
CCCUUAGAGUUUGAUCCUGGCUCAGGAUGAACGCCGGCGGUGUGCCUAAUACAUGCAAGUCGAGCGCACUGGCCCAACUGAUAUGACGUGCUUGCACUGAAUUGACGUUGGAUUCCCAGUGAGCGGCGGAUGGGUGAGUAACACGUGGGCAACCUGCCCUGAAGCGGGGGAUAACAUCUGGAAACAGGUGCUAAUACCGCAUAACAACGAAAACCACAUGGUUUUCGUUUCAAAGAUGGUUUCGGCUAUCACUUCAGGAUGGGCCCGCGGUGCAUUAGCUAGUUGGUAAGGUAACGGCUUACCAAGGCGAUGAUGCAUAGCCGAGUUGAGAGACUGAUCGGCCACAAUGGAACUGAGACACGGUCCAUACUCCUACGGGAGGCAGCAGUAGGGAAUCUUCCACAAUGGGCGCAAGCCUGAUGGAGCAACACCGCGUGAGUGAAGAAGGGUUUCGGCUCGUAAAGCUCUGUUGUGGAGAAGAACGUGCGUGAGAG